rnacentral:rRNA from 1 species
CACGUAGUUAGCCGUCCCUUUCUGGUAAGAUACCGUCACAGUGUGAACUUUCCACUCUCACACUCGUUCUUCUCUUACAACAGAGCUUUACGAUACCGAAAACCUUCUUCACUCACGCGGCGUUGCUCGGUCAGACUUCCGUCCAUUGCCGAAGAUUCCCUACUGCUGCCUCCCGUAGGAGUCUGGGCCGUGUCUCAGUCCCAGUGUGGCCGAUCACCCUCUCAGGUCGGCUAUGUAUCGUCGCCUUGGUGAGCCGUUACCUCACCAACUAGCUAAUACAACGCAGGUCCAUCUGGUAGUGGAGCAAUUGCCCCUUUCAAGCAGAUAUCAUGCAAUAUCUACUGUUAUGCGGUAUUAGCUAUUCGUUUCCAAUAGUUACUCCCCCGCUACCAGGCAGGUUACCUACGCGUUACUCACCCGUUCGCAACUCAUCCGGAAAGAGCAAGCCUUCCUUCCUUCAGCGUUCUACUUGCAUGUAUUAGGCACGCCGCCAGCGUUCUAC